rnacentral:rRNA from 1 species
GGGUUGUGAGGUUAAGCGACUAAGCGUACACGGUGGAUGCCCUGGCAGUCAGAGGCGAUGAAGGACGUGCUAAUCUGCGAUAAGCGUCGGUAAGGUGAUAUGAACCGUUAUAACCGGCGAUUUCCGAAUGGGGAAACCCAGUGUGAUUCGUCACACUAUCAUUAACUGAAUCCAUAGGUUAAUGAGGCGAACCGGGGGAACUGAAACAUCUAAGUACCCCGAGGAAAAGAAAUCAACCGAGAUUCCCCCAGUAGCGGCGAGCGAACGGGGAGCAGCCCAGAGCCUGAAUCAGUGUGUGUGUUAGUGGAAGCGUCUGGAAAGGCGCGCGAUACAGGGUGACAGCCCCGUACACAAAAAUGCACAUACUGUGAGCUCGAUGAGUAGGGCGGGACACGUGGUAUCCUGUCUGAAUAUGGGGGGACCAUCCUCCAAGGCUAAAUACUCCUGACUGACCGAUAGUGAACCAGUACCGUGAGGGAAAGGCGAAAAGAACCCCGGCGAGGGGAGUGAAAAAGAACCUGAAACCGUGUACGUACAAGCAGUGGGAGCACGCUUAGGCGUGUGACUGCGUACCUUUUGUAUAAUGGGUCAGCGACUUAUAUUCUGUAGCAAGGUUAACCGAAUAGGGGAGCCGAAGGGAAACCGAGUCUUAACUGGGCGUUAAGUUGCAGGGUAUAGACCCGAAACCCGGUGAUCUAGCCAUGGGCAGGUUGAAGGUUGGGUAACACUAACUGGAGGACCGAACCGACUAAUGUUGAAAAAUUAGCGGAUGACUUGUGGCUGGGGGUGAAAGGCCAAUCAAACCGGGAGAUAGCUGGUUCUCCCCGAAAGCUAUUUAGGUAGCGCCUCGUGAAUUCAUCUCCGGGGGUAGAGCACUGUUUCGGCAAGGGGGUCAUCCCGACUUACCAACCCGAUGCAAACUGCGAAUACCGGAGAAUGUUAUCACGGGAGACACACGGCGGGUGCUAACGUCCGUCGUGAAGAGGGAAACAACCCAGACCGCCAGCUAAGGUCCCAAAGUCAUGGUUAAGUGGGAAACGAUGUGGGAAGGCCCAGACAGCCAGGAUGUUGGCUUAGAAGCAGCCAUCAUUUAAAGAAAGCGUAAUAGCUCACUGGUCGAGUCGGCCUGCGCGGAAGAUGUAACGGGGCUAAACCAUGCACCGAAGCUGCGGCAGCGACGCUUAUGCGUUGUUGGGUAGGGGAGCGUUCUGUAAGCCUGUGAAGGUGUGCUGUGAGGCAUGCUGGAGGUAUCAGAAGUGCGAAUGCUGACAUAAGUAACGAUAAAGCGGGUGAAAAGCCCGCUCGCCGGAAGACCAAGGGUUCCUGUCCAACGUUAAUCGGGGCAGGGUGAGUCGACCCCUAAGGCGAGGCCGAAAGGCGUAGUCGAUGGGAAACAGGUUAAUAUUCCUGUACUUGGUGUUACUGCGAAGGGGGGACGGAGAAGGCUAUGUUGGCCGGGCGACGGUUGUCCCGGUUUAAGCGUGUAGGCUGGUUUUCCAGGCAAAUCCGGAAAAUCAAGGCUGAGGCGUGAUGACGAGGCACUACGGUGCCGAAGCAACAAAUGCCCUGCUUCCAGGAAAAGCCUCUAAGCAUCAGGUAACAUCAAAUCGUACCCCAAACCGACACAGGUGGUCAGGUAGAGAAUACCAAGGCGCUUGAGAGAACUCGGGUGAAGGAACUAGGCAAAAUGGUGCCGUAACUUCGGGAGAAGGCACGCUGAUAUGUAGGUGAAGUCCCUCGCGGAUGGAGCUGAAAUCAGUCGAAGAUACCAGCUGGCUGCAACUGUUUAUUAAAAACACAGCACUGUGCAAACACGAAAGUGGACGUAUACGGUGUGACGCCUGCCCGGUGCCGGAAGGUUAAUUGAUGGGGUCAGCGCAAGCGAAGCUCUUGAUCGAAGCCCCGGUAAACGGCGGCCGUAACUAUAACGGUCCUAAGGUAGCGAAAUUCCUUGUCGGGUAAGUUCCGACCUGCACGAAUGGCGUAAUGAUGGCCAGGCUGUCUCCACCCGAGACUCAGUGAAAUUGAACUCGCUGUGAAGAUGCAGUGUACCCGCGGCAAGACGGAAAGACCCCGUGAACCUUUACUAUAGCUUGACACUGAACAUUGAGCCUUGAUGUGUAGGAUAGGUGGGAGGCUUAGAAGUGUGGACGCCAGUCUGCAUGGAGCCGACCUUGAAAUACCACCCUUUAAUGUUUGAUGUUCUAACGUUGACCCGUAAUCCGGGUUGCGGACAGUGUCUGGUGGGUAGUUUGACUGGGGCGGUCUCCUCCUAAAGAGUAACGGAGGAGCACGAAGGUUGGCUAAUCCUGGUCGGACAUCAGGAGGUUAGUGCAAUGGCAUAAGCCAGCUUGACUGCGAGCGUGACGGCGCGAGCAGGUGCGAAAGCAGGUCAUAGUGAUCCGGUGGUUCUGAAUGGAAGGGCCAUCGCUCAACGGAUAAAAGGUACUCCGGGGAUAACAGGCUGAUACCGCCCAAGAGUUCAUAUCGACGGCGGUGUUUGGCACCUCGAUGUCGGCUCAUCACAUCCUGGGGCUGAAGUAGGUCCCAAGGGUAUGGCUGUUCGCCAUUUAAAGUGGUACGCGAGCUGGGUUUAGAACGUCGUGAGACAGUUCGGUCCCUAUCUGCCGUGGGCGCUGGAGAACUGAGGGGGGCUGCUCCUAGUACGAGAGGACCGGAGUGGACGCAUCACUGGUGUUCGGGUUGUCAUGCCAAUGGCACUGCCCGGUAGCUAAAUGCGGAAGAGAUAAGUGCUGAAAGCAUCUAAGCACGAAACUUGCCCCGAGAUGAGUUCUCCCUGACCCUUUAAGGGUCCUGAAGGAACGUUGAAGACGACGACGUUGAUAGGCCGGGUGUGUAAGCGCAGCGAUGCGUUGAGCUAACCGGUACUAAUGAACCGUGAGGCUUAACCUUACAACGCCGAAGGUGUUU